AGCGAACGCUGGCGGCAGGCUUAACACAUGCAAGUCGAGCGGAUGUAGCAAUACAUCAGCGGCAGACGGGAGAGUAACACGUGGGAACGUACCCUUCAGUUCGGAACAACCAAGGGAAACUUUGGCUAAUACCGAAUACGUCCGUAAGGAGAAAGAUUUAUCGCUGAAGGAUCGGCCCGCGUCUGAUUAGCUAGUUGGUGAGGUAACGGCUCACCAAGGCGACGAUCAGUAGCUGGUCUGAGAGGAUGAUCAGCCUCACUGGGACUGAGACACGGCCCAGACUCCUACGGGUGGCAG
rnacentral:rRNA from 1 species